ACUCAAAGGAAUUGACGGGGACCCGCACAAGCGGUGGAUCAUGUGGCUUAAUAUGACGCUACGCGUAGAACCUUACCGAGGCUUGACAUCCCUGGAACCCCUGAGAGAUCAGGGGGUGCCGCAAGGAAUCAGGUGACAGGUGCUGCAUGGCCGUCGUCAGCUCGUGUCGUGAGAUGUUGGGUUAAGUCCCGCAACGAGCGCAACCCUCAUCGUAUGUUGUAUUUUUCAUGCGAGACUGCCCGGGCCAACCGGGAGGAAGGUGGGGAUGAAGUCAGGUCGGCAUGGCCCUUACGCCUCGGGCCGCACACGUGAUACAAUGGCCGGUACAACGCGCCGCCAAGUCGCAAGACGGAGCUAAUCGCAUCAAAACCGGUCCCAGUUCGGAUUGGAGGCUGCAACUCGCCUCCAUGAAGUCGGAAUCGCUAGUAAACGUGGGUCAGCACACUACGUUGAAUACGUUCCCGGGUCUUGUACACACCGCCCGU
rnacentral:rRNA from 1 species